CCAUACCGCGUGGGUGAAGAAGGCCUUCGGGUUGUAAAGCCCUUUUGUUGGGAAAGAAAUCCUAUCGGUUAAUAACCGGUGGGGAUGACGGUACCCAAAGAAUAAGCACCGGCUAACUUCGUGCCAGCAGCCGCGGUAAUACGAAGGGUGCAAGCGUUACUCGGAAUUACUGGGCGUAAAGCGUGCGUAGGUGGUGGUUUAAGUCCGUUGUGAAAGCCCUGGGCUCAACCUGGGAAUUGCAGUGGAUACUGGAUCACUAGAGUGUGGUAGAGGGAUGCGGAAUUUCUGGUGUAGCAGUGAAAUGCGUAGAGAUCAGAAGGAACAUCCGUGGCGAAGGCGGCAUCCUGGGCCAACACUGACACUGAGGCACGAAAGCGUGGGGAGCAAACAGGAUUAGAUACCCUGGUAGUCCACGCCCUAAACGAUGCGAACUGGAUGUUGGGUGCAACUUGGCACCCAGUAUCGAAGCUAACGCGU
rnacentral:rRNA from 1 species